rnacentral:rRNA from 1 species
AACGAACGCUGGCGGCAGGCCUAACACAUGCAAGUCGAGCGCUCACCUUCGGGUGGGAGCGGCGCACGGGUGAGUAACACGUGGGAACCUACCUUGAAGUACGGAAUAACUGAGGGAGACUUCAGCUAAUACCGUAUACGCCCUACGGGGGAAAGAUUUAUCGCUUCAAGACGGGCCCGCGUUGGAUUAGCUAGUUGGUGAGGUAAUGGCUCACCAAGGCAACGAUCCAUAGCUGAUUUGAGAGAAUGCUCAGCCACACUGGGACUGAGACACGGCCCAGACUCCUACGGGAGGCAGCAGUGGGGAAUAUUGGACAAUGGGCGCAAGCCUGAUCCAGCCAUGCCGCGUGAGUGAUGAAGGCCUUAGGGUUGUAAAGCUCUUUCGUCGGGGAAGAUAAUGACGGUACCCGAAGAAGAAGCCUCGGCUAACUCCGUGCCAGCCGCCGCCGUAAUAC